UUGCCAGUAUCCGUUGCAUUGUUUCUAAAUGUUGACAUACCAAAAUACAACUGCCCGGCACAUUUAAUGAUAACAAAUUAAAGCCCGUUAGCAGAAAGCGCAGGGCCAUAUUAAUGUUCACUCAGCCUCUGUCUUGUAUAUACUUUAAUGUAUUUUUUUCCAAUGGCCUUUCUUCAACUCCAGGUUUCAUUUUUGGCUUUUUAUUCUUUUUUAUACCAUCAGAUGGGUAGUUCUAGGCCCUAGCAGGUGUACACUGGCAGUCACAACACAAAGCUGCAGUUUUGAGAUUAAUGUGGACCAUUACAGUAUUUCCACAAAGAUUAACGAAAACUGCAGUUCUCCACCUAAGUUUACAGAUGGAAAAAAUUAAUUCACCUUCAUAGAAGGAAUCGAUGUGUCACAGCUGCUGUUGGCAAGAUGGCCCGAGAGUUAUGCAGCUCCAUCUGGUUCAGCUGCAGCUUUUCAUCUGCCCUUCUCUGGUCCUUCCGCAGCUGGACAGAUAGCCCACAAGGGCACAGGGUACACAGACCCUCCCUGUCCAGCUGCAGCAGUCACUCCUGCCAGCACUCCCUUUCCCCCCAACCAUUCCCAUUUCGCAGGCUGGAGCCCUGUAUGGUAGAUGAGGAGAGAGCUGCAGGCAGAAGGAAAACAGGGUGCUGGGAUUCCUCCAGCCCACUGCCAGAUGUCUUCUCUGGCAUUUUGGGGGUGGGCAGGGGACUGUGGGAGCACCCUCGAGGCUCUGGGCAGGAGGGAAGGAAGCAAAGGUGCAGCUGCAGGCAGCAGACUCUGAGGUGGAGCAGUGCAGCCAGGCACGGCUGCACAGCUCACAGUCUGGGCACACAGAGGAAGUUUGUCCAGCUGAGGGCUGCAGGGCUUUCCUUAUCAAGCACCUCCCCAUCCUACAGGUCUGCAGUGACUGCACCAGUUGCUCAAGCUCUUCCCAGUACAGGAGCUCGGAAGUGACAACAACCAUUACCCCGACUCAAGCAGAUCACAGUCUGAAGCAGUGAUGGAGCACCUGGUGAGGUGUGUAGACCUGCAAGCAGAGGUGGAAGCGGUGCACGUGUGGGACCAGAUGGGGCUGAGCCUGGCUCCACCCCUCCCUCCCCUCAUUUAAGGGCUGGCAGCCCCACAAGCAGUGUUUCUUCCUGGAGAUGCCUCCUGUGGAUUGCUGGGUGAGCUCUGGUUCUUGGAAAGAGGUGAGUGAUUCUUUCUUUCUUGCAGGGUUCUGAUCUGUGCCUUUCUGUGGGGCUCCUAAGCUGGUUUACAGUAGCUGUGUCUGCUCUGCCCCUCCUCAUGCUGCCUUCCAGUUGUUCUCUGAGGGGAGUGAAGGGGUUAUCUGCCUUUUUCUGAAGUGGUCACGGCGAGACUGAUGCUCGUUCCUUUCUUUUGCUCCCAUCUGUUUCUGGAAUGCUUCCGUCAGCCCCGACGCUGGUCGGCUGGCUGAGCAUUGCAACUCUGGAAAUGCCUGGAGCUGGUGCACUUUUCCACAAAGGGAUUCUGUGUUCUCCAGGUUUCCUUUGCAGUUCUUGUUCAGCUCAGUACCUUCUCGUGAAGUCUCUGUUCCCUCUUUCAUGAUUCUCAUUGCGUAGUCUCCAACCUGGGACUCCAAACUGGGUUUGUCUGCUACCACGUCGUUCCAGCCCGUUUUAUGACACGUCCCCUCUGCGUCCCCCUCCACGUUCCCUCUGUGUUCUCGCGUCCCGCUUGUGUCUUUGUGUCCUCCCUGUGUCCUCUGCCCACGUCCCCUCUGUGUCUCCUGUGCCACGUAUUCAUUCCACCCUUGCUGAGUAUUGUUUAAGGGCAUGUGUUUAAAUUAUGUUCCGCAUCUCUUUGGCUCUCGUUCUGUUUUGCAGACAGACAGAAGGGUUUCUGGGGCUGCUCUGGUUAGUGGUUUAAGCUCUGUGAAAUCUGUGGAGCAGACAGUGGAACACCAUGAAGCCCUUGUUCAUGCAUUGCUGGUAUGCAGAUCUGGCUUCGUGUUUAUAGGAAACAAAGGACUGUCCUCUACUGGACCGCUCCGUCUGGAUCACCCCAGAUAGCUCCAUCCCAAUUGUCAGGGGAUGCUGUUAGUUUCCCAGUCCGUACGACACCCAACCUCCCCAGCCCUCUUCCUUCCAUCCCCUGAGCCCCGUUAAGUCGCUGGCUGUGCAUCUGUGGGACCCAACAGUGUGAUGAAGCAACGCCUCUGGUGCGCUGAAUGCUGGGACCGGCACAGAGAGGCUCCGUGGCUGACGUGGCUCUUCCUGCUUGGACUGCUUGGUAUCGAAAGGCUGUUACCAGGUCACCUUGGAGCCUUUGCUCCUCCGCGCUGAACAGCCCCAGCUCUCUCAGCCUGUCCUUGGAGGAGAGGUGUUUGAUCCUUUGGUUCUUUGUGUUUUGGGGCCGUCCUCUGGAUGUGCUCCAACGGGUCCGUGUCCCUUCUGCCCUGAGGACUCUUCGUAUGGACACAGCGCUCCAGGUCCCUCUGGCUGGCGUCCCGUCCCUCUGCUGUGUCGCCGCUCCCCACAGCUCGGUGUCGUCAGCAAAUUUUCUGAGGGUGCGCCCGGCCCCGCCGGUGCUGUCACUGAUGAAGAUGCUGAAGAGUCCCAGCCCCAGCACGGACCCCUUUGGGAAGUGCAGGUGGGUGAUAUCAGUGGCUCUUGGCUCGUCUAUUGAUGCAGUGACACCGCCAUAGGCAGCCGCCAGGUUGGUCAAGCAGGAUUUAGCCUUGGUGAAGUCGCGCUGGCUCUCCUGUAUCACCUCCCUGUCAUUUGUGUGCCUUAGCGCAAC